rnacentral:rRNA from 1 species
GGGUCAGUAGGUUGGUCGUGCCACCGGUACGUACUGGUCUCACUGAUUCCUCCUUCCUGAAGAUCCGUAAUGCCAUUAAUUUGGUGUUGCGGGAAACAGGACUGUUACUUUGAAAAAAUUAGAGUGUUUAAAGCAAGCUAACGCUUGAAUACAUUAGCAUGGAAUAAUGAAAUAGGACGAUCGAUCCUAUUUUGUUGGUUUCUAGGAUUGACGUA